rnacentral:rRNA from 1 species
AGAGUUUGAUCCUGGCUCAGAACGAACGCUGGCGGCAGGCUUAACACAUGCAAGUCGAACGCCCCGCAGGGGGAGUGGCAUACGGGUGAGUAACGCGUGGGAACAUACCCUUUCCUGCGGAAUAGCUCCGGGAAACUGGAAUUAAUACCGCAUACUCCCUACGGGGGAAAGAUUUAUCGGGGAAGGAUUGGCCCGCGUUGGAUUAGCUAGUUGGUGGGGUAAAGGCCUACCAAGGCGACGAUCCAUAACUGGUCUGAGAGGAUGAUCAGCCACAUUGGGACUGAGACACGGCCCAAACUCCUACGGGAGGCAGCAGUGGGGAAUAUUGGACAAUGGGCGCAAGCCUGAUCCAGCCAUGCCGCGUGAGUGAUGAAGGCCUUAGGGUUGUAAAGCUCUUUCACCGGAGAAGAUAAUGACGGUAUCCGGAGAAGAAGCCCCGGCUAACUUCUUGCCAACAGCCGCGGUAAUACGAACGGGGCUAGCGUUGUUCGGAAUUACUGGGCGUAAAGCGCACGUAGGCGGAUAUUUAAGUCAGGGGUGAAAUCCCACAGCUCAACUCUGGAACUGCCUUUGAUACUGGGUAUCUUGAGUAUGGAAGAGGUAAGUGGAAUUCCGAGUGUAUAGGUGAAAUUCGUAUAUAUUCGGGAGGAACACCAGUGGCGAACGCGGCUUACUGGUCCAUUACUGACACUUACGUGCG